UAGGUGUUGGGAGGGUAAACCUUUUAGUACCGUAGCUAACGCGAGAAGUUGACCGCCUGGGGAGUACGGCCGCAAGGUUAAAACUCAAAGGAAUUGACGGGGACCCGCACAAGCGGUGGAUGAUGUGGAUUAAUUCGAUGCAACGCGAAAAACCUUACCUACCCUUGACAUGUCAGGAACUUGCCAGAGAUGGCUUGGUGCCCGAAAGGGAACCUGAACACAGGUGCUGCAUGGCUGUCGUCAGCUCGUGUCGUGAGAUGUUGGGUUAAGUCCCGCAACGAGCGCAACCCUUGUCGUUAAUUGCCAUCAUUUAGUUGGGCACUUUAACGAGACUGCCGGUGACAAACCGGAGGAAGGUGGGGAUGACGUCAAGUCCUCAUGGCCCUUAUGGGUAGGGCUUCACACGUCAUACAAUGGUCGGUACAAAGGGUCGCCAACCCGCGAGGGGGAGCCAAUCCCAGAAAGCCGAUCGUAGUCCGGAUUGCAGGCUGCAACUCGCCUGCAUGAAGUCGGAAUCGCUAGUAAUCGUGGAUCAGCAUGUCACGGUGAAUACGUUCCCGGGCCUUGUACACACCGCC
rnacentral:rRNA from 1 species